AAUGAACGCUGGCGGCGCGCCUAAUACAUGCAAGUCGAGCGAGAAGACGCAGCAAUACGUUUGUAAAGCGGCGAACGGGUGAGGAAUACAUGGGUAACCUACCCUAGAGUGGGGAAUAACUAGCCGAAAGGUUAGCUAAUACCGCGUACGCUCCUUGGACUUCGGUUCAGGGAGGAAAGCGAUACCGAGGGUAUCGCGCUCUUGGAUGGGCUCAUGUCCUAUCAGCUUGUUGGGAGGUAACGGCUCACCAAGGCUUCGACGGGUAGCUGGUCUGAGAGGACGAUCAGCCACACUGGCACUGCGACACGGGCCAGACUCCUACGGGAGGCAGCAGUAAGGAAUAUUGCGCAAUGGGCGAAAGCCUGACGCAGCGACGCCGCGUGGGGGAGUGAAGGUCUUCGGAUU
rnacentral:rRNA from 1 species